AUCUGGGAACGGGAGAGGAGAUGUACGUGGACGUCGAUCGCCCCGGCGGUGAGGAUCUUCCCCUCCCCGCUGACCACGUCCGUGCCUGGCCCGAUGAUCAGGUCGGGGUGGACGCCGUCGGCGAUGUCGGGGUUGCCGGAGCGUCCCAGGGCGACGAUCCGGCCGGCGCGGAUCCCCACGUCGGCGCGGACGAUGCCCCAGUGGUCGAGCACCAGGGCGUUGGUGAUCACCGUGUCGAGCGCACCGUCUGCCGAGGAGACGGUGGACUGGUUCAUCGACUCGCGGAU
rnacentral:sRNA from 1 species